rnacentral:rRNA from 1 species
ACAUGCCUACAACAUAGUGUUAAUGCAUUGAAUCCCAUUAGAACUCCACAAUUAAGUGUGUUCAGGCUAGAUUAGUACUGAGAUGGGUGAUCGCCCCGAAAGUCGUAGUGUUUUACAUGCC